rnacentral:tRNA from 1 species
GGAGAGAUGCCGGAGUGGUCGAACGGGCUAGUCUCGAAAACUAGAGUGCCUGUAUGGGUACCGAGGGUUCGAAUCCCUCUCUCUCCG